UACGGAGGGACUAGCGUUGUUCGGAAUUACUGGGCGUAAAGCGCACGUAGGCGGAUUUGUAAGUCAGGGGUGAAAUCCCGGGGCUCAACCUCGGAACUGCCUUUGAUACUGAAGAUCUUGAGUUCGGGAGAGGUGAGUGGAACUGCGAGUGUAGAGGUGAAAUUCGUAGAUAUUCGCAAGAACACCAGUGGCGAAGGCGGCUCACUGGCCCGAUACUGACGCUGAGGCACGAAAGCGUGGGGAGCAAACAGGG
rnacentral:rRNA from 1 species